AGAACACUCUUCUGAAAUCGGCCCUGAGAUAAGCACACACCGCCCGUCACUCUCCUUAAUAAA
rnacentral:rRNA from 1 species